UACGGAGGGUGCAAGCGUUAUCCGGAUUCACUGGGUUUAAAGGGUGCGUAGGUGGCUUGGUAAGUCAGUGGUGAAAGCCCGGAGCUCAACUCCGGAACUGCCAUUGAUACUGCUUAGCUUGAAUCAGGUCGAGGUGGAUGGAAUAUUACAUGUAGCGGUGAAAUGCUUAGAUAUGUAAUAGAACACCGAUUGCGAAGGCAGUUCACUAGGCCUGAAUUGACACUGAGGCACGAAAGCGUGGGGAUCAAACAGG
rnacentral:rRNA from 1 species